UACAGAGGGUGCGAGCGUUAAUCGGAAUUACUGGGCGUAAAGCGUGCGUAGACGGCUAUCUAAGUCGGGUGUGAAAGCCCCGGGCUCAACCUGGGAAUUGCAUUCGAGACUGAAUAGCUAGGGUACGGUAGAGGGAAGUGGAAUUUCCGGUGUAGCGGUGAAAUGCGUAGAUAUCGGAAGGAACAUCAGUGGCGAAGGCGACUAACUGGACAUGUAUUGACGCUGAGGUGCGAAAGCGUGGGGAGCAAACAGG
rnacentral:rRNA from 1 species